GACGAACGCUGGCGGCGUGCUUAACACAUGCAAGUCGAACGCUGAAGCUCAGCUUUUGUUGGGUGGAUGAGUGGCGAACGGGUGAGUAACACGUGAGUAACCUGCCCCCUUCUCUGGGAUAACGCCCGGAAACGGGUGCUAAUACUGGAUAUUCACUGGUCUUCGCAUGGGGGUUGGUGGAAAGGGUUUUUCUGGUGGGGGAUGGGCUCGCGGCCUAUCAGCUUGUUGGUGGGGUGAUGGCCUACCAAGGCUUUGACGGGUAGCCGGCCUGAGAGGGUGACCGGUCACAUUGGGACUGAGAUACGGCCCAGACCCCUACGGGAGGCAGCAGUGGGGAAUAUUGCACAAUGGGCGCAAGCCUGAUGCAGCGACGCCGCGUGAGGGAUGGAGGCCUUCGGGUUGUGAACCUCUUUCGCUCAUGGUCAAGCCGCAACAAUGGUUGUGGUGAGGGUAGUGGGUAAAGAAGCGCCGGCUAACUACGUG
rnacentral:rRNA from 1 species